GAUCCACUAGCUCAGCCGGUAGAGCAUCUGACUUUUAAUCAGGGGGUCGGGGGUUCGAAUCCCCCGUGGGUCACCA
rnacentral:tRNA from 1 species